CCUACGGGGAGCUGCAGUGGGGAAUAUUGGACAAUGGGCGAAAGCCUGAUCCAGCCAUGCCGCGUGUGUGAAGAAGGCCUUCGGGUUGUAAAGCACUUUCAGUGGGGAAGAAAGCCUUGGGGCUAAUACCCUCGAGGAAGGACAUCACCCACAGAAGAAGCACCGGCUAACUCCGUGCCAGCAGCCGCGGUAAUACGGAGGGUGCGAGCGUUAAUCGGAAUUACUGGGCGUAAAGCGCGCGUAGGCGGUCUGAUAAGCCGGUUGUGAAAGCCCCGGGCUCAACCUGGGAACGGCAUCCGGAACUGUCAGGCUAGAGUGCAGGAGAGGAAGGUAGAAUUCCCGGUGUAGCGGUGAAAUGCGUAGAGAUCGGGAGGAAUACCAGUGGCGAGGCGGCCUUCUGGACUGACACUGACGCUGAGGUGCGAAAGCGUGGGUAGCAAACAGGAUUAGAUACCCUGGUAGUC
rnacentral:rRNA from 1 species